AGUGAAAUAGCUGGGUCAAAUGGUGGUUCCAAUCCAAGUUUUCUGAGGAAUCUCCAUAUUGCUUUCCAUAGUGGUUGCACCUAUUUGCAGUCCCACCAGCAAU
rnacentral:pre_miRNA from 1 species